rnacentral:rRNA from 1 species
GACGAACGCUGGCGGCGUGCUUAACACAUGCAAGUCGAACGGAAAGGCCCUGCUUUUGUGGGGUGCUCGAGUGGCGAACGGGUGAGUAACACGUGAGUAACCUGCCCUUGACUUUGGGAUAACUUCAGGAAACUGGGGCUAAUACCGGAUAGGAGCUCCUGCUGCAUGGUGGGGGUUGGAAAGUUUCGGCGGUUGGGGAUGGACUCGCGGCUUAUCAGCUUGUUGGUGGGGUAGUGGCUUACCAAGGCUUUGACGGGUAGCCGGCCUGAGAGGGUGACCGGCCACAUUGGGACUGAGAUACGGCCCAGACUCCCACGGGAGGCAGCAGUGGGGAAUAUUGCACAAUGGGCGGAAGCCUGAUGCAGCAACGCCGCGUGCGGGAGGACGGCCUUCGGGUUGUAAACCGCUUUCGCCUGUGACGAAGCGUGAGUGACGGUAAUGGGGAAAGAAGCACCGGCUAACUACGU